AUGUUGUUGUUGUUGUUCUAUUUGGAUUAUUAUUUUCAUUUCUUAUUGAUUUGUUUCAUGCAUUGCUUGAAACACCUAUUAACAUUGGGAACACAAAAAGUUGGGGGGUCUGUUGUAGUUGGGGCGGGUGUACGGAACACCCAAAAGAUUGGUGAUAUCUGUUGUAGCAGGGGGUCAGACCAUAUAGAAAUGUUGUGCAAAUUAAUGGAUACAUUUUGUGUGACUAGGGUUGAUCUCGAGCCGAGUUACGGGUGGGGGUGUAAUGUCAUGUGGUUCCGCAUAGGUUGCAUUUCAGAAUUGUGUUCCGUUUGUGAUAUAGAAGUUUCAGAUAAUAUCCCCUGA
rnacentral:rRNA from 1 species